GGGUUUUGCCCUCACUUUUUUUUCUUAACUAUGGCUCUGCGAUUCAGUCGUUCUUGAAUCCUCUCCUUUUUGGGUUUUUUUGCUCUACGCAGAGAGAGAACAAUGGAGAGAAAAGGAGAGUUUGUUUCCGCUGUGCCUAGAAUAGCCCAGUUGUUAUUGCUGAUGAAAAACAUCCCUGGAGAUUGGGGUUUUGUUUGCUGCAUCUCUUAUGGCGAUCUGGAGUUUUCAGCAAAAAAAGGAGGGGUUUUAUUUUCAGCAAAAGCAAACUUCCAGUAUUUUGCAAUUGUGUAGAUACUUUUCAUGAAGUGAAGAGCAAACGUGAAAGAAGGAAAGAAGACAAAGCUUUGACAAUGCAAUUGUUGGCUGUGGCAUGUUUGUCCCUUGCAGCCAAAAUGGAGGAGAUUAAUGUCUCAAUCUCCCUUGAUUUACAGGAAUUGACUUCUUGGAAUUUAAACCUUCAGAGUUUGCAGCAGCAGUGACCAUUUCUGUAACGGGAGGAAGCAUAGCAUUAGAUUACACUUAGAAUUCAAUCUCGCUUAUCAAUGGUGAUUUGGAUGAAGCAAGGAAAGAGCAAAAGUCAAACUUUGAACAUCAAAGACAAGAUAAUGUUGACUGGCAAGAGACUCCAGUUGCAGGUUGGACCUAUUGUUGGACUUGAUCAAUAUGUCAACUACUUCAAAAUUCAGCUGAGGAUACAACAGAGGAUUAAAAGCGCAGAGCUCAGGAUGUUAACCGAGGAGCAAGAAAAUGAACUUCCAAACUUUACACCAUUCAUUCAAUUGAUGUCUCCCUUGGUGAGUUUCCUCUCUGAACUAUUCUGUUUCUAUUUUGAUGAUUCCCGCAGCCUGUUAUUAGUAUUUAACUCGAUGCUUAAAACUUUAAGAUUAUAUACAAUGAUAUGUAAUUAGAGAACGACGAUUUUUCUAUAAUGCUUCAUUUGGCAACUGAUAAUCUUUUGUACCAAUGGUUCUUAUAUUGCUUUUUGAAGUUCGGUACUAAUUAUGAAAAGAACAAUUUCGAAAGUAUAAGUAAAA